rnacentral:lncRNA from 1 species
AAAAGGGUCAGGGUCAGCGAUGAAAAGGAGGUGGCAAAGGGCUGGGACUCACAGCCUUAAAAAUGCAAGUGAACAAGAGUUGGCUGAGUUGAUGAGUUGUUCUAGAAACAAGGUUGAGGGCUAGCUGGAAAAAGAGGCUUCUUUCUGAGCACCAAAGCCUUCAGACAUUUUUCCUCAUUGCAUGGGCAAAUGACCGUAUUUUACCCUCUCCUGCCAUUUUCAGCAGUGUGUAUUGAACAUAAUCUAAAACUUUCCCCAGGACUGAUGGUUAGUCUCCUGAUCACCAACUGCAGUUGACUUCAGUGCCUUUGCCCUAUGAUAUAUUGGAAAUUCCUAAAGCCUGUUGUGCCAUUUGUCCCUGAACUCAACGGCCUCAGGAUGCUCUCCUUUCACAGUAUUUAUUUUUCCUUUCAACAAAUUUAUUU